ACUUCAUCCACCCUUGCUUUCUUAACCGAUCGCUCGGGCUGGGAUUUGGGGGUUGCCGGUCCCUGGCAGAUCGGCUCUCCUUAAAAGCAUUAGCGGGAUCCAAGUGUUGGCCCCCCGGCGUGAUAGUAAUAUCUGCGUCUCCUGGGCCUCGCGUUUUAAAGGGUCUGCUUCUAAUCGCCCGCCCCCGGGCAAACCUCACUUUACU
rnacentral:misc_RNA from 1 species